rnacentral:rRNA from 1 species
GACGGAGGAUGCAAGUGUUAUCCGGAAUCACUGGGCGUAAAGCGUCUGUAGGUGGUCAAAUAAGUCAACUGUUAAAUCUUGAGGCUCAACCUCAAAAUCGCAGUCGAAACUAUUAGACUAGAGUAUAGUAGGGGUAAAGGGAAUUUCCAGUGGAGCGGUGAAUGCGUAGAGAUUGGAAAGAACACCGAUGGCGAAGGCACUUUACUGGGCUAUUACUAACACUCAGGCGCGAUAGCGUGGGGAUCAAACAGG